UUUUUCUUUUUGAUAAUAGCUAUCCUGAGGUGAGAUGAUACUUCAUUGCAGUUUUGAUCUGCGUUUCCCUUGAUUAAGUGAUGUCCAACAUUUUUCAUAUAUUUUUUGGUCAUUUGUGUGUCUUCUUUUGAGAAAUACCCAGAUCUUUUUCCCACUUUUAAUUGCAUUGUUCAUUUUUUUUGCUGUUGAGACAUCUGAGUUCCUUGUAUACGCUGGAUAUGAAUUCUUUGUUGAAUGAAUAGUUUGCAAAUAUUUUAUCCCAUUCUGCAGGUUGUCUUUUCAUUCCAUUGUUUCCUUUGCUGUGCAGAAGCUUUUUAGUUUGAUAUAAUACCAUUUGUUUAGUUUUUGCUUUUGUUGUCUGUGCUUCUGAGGUCUUAUUCAUAAAAUAUUUCCCUAGACCAAUAUUCUGAAACAUUUCCUCUACUUUGUCUUCUGGUAGUUUUAUAGUUUCAGGUCCUAUAUUUAGGUCUUUAAUCCAUUUUGAGUUGAUUUUUUUACAGGGUGAAAGAUGAGACUCUAGUUUCAUUCUUCGACAUACUGAUAUCAUUUUCUCAGCAGCAUUUGUUGAAGAGACUGCUCUGUCCCCAAAAAGUGUUCUUGGCACGUUUGUCAAAAAUUAGUUGGCUGUAGAUAUGUGAUUAAUUCCCGGUUUCUCUAUUCUGUUGCAUUCAUUUAUGUGUCUGUUUUUAUGCCAGUACGAGGCUGUUUUGGUUACUACAGCUUUGUACUAUAUUGUGAAGUUAGGUAGUGUGAUCCCUCUGGCUUUGUUCUUUCUGCUCAGGAUUGCUUUGGCUAUUUGAGGUCUUGUGUGUCUCCCUACAAAUUUUAAGACAUUUUUCUAUUUCUGUGAAGGUUGUCACUGAUGUUCUGAUAGGGAUAGCACCGAAUCUGUAGAUUGCCUUAGGUAGUACGGUCAUUUUACAAUGUUAAUUCUGAUCCAUGAGCAUGUAAUGUCUUUCCAUUCGUUUGAAUCCUCUUCAAUUUAUUUCAUCAGUAUUUUGUAGUUUUCCUCAUGAUGUCUUUCACCUCCUCAAAUUUAUUCCUCAAUAUUUACAUAUUUUUGGUAGCAAUUUAAAUGGGACUUCCUUCUUGACAUCCUUUUUGGCUAGUUUGUUGUUCAUAUAUAGAAAUGCUACUAAUUGUUGUAUUCCUAUUCCUAGUUUGUUGACUGCUUUAUUUAUUAUGGAAGGGUGCUAAAUUUUGUCAAAUGCUUUUUCCUGCAUCAAUUGACAUAAUUGCACACUUUCCUCCUUUCAUUUGUUAUAUGGUAUAUAAUAUUGAUUUUCCAAUAUUAAACCACUCUUGCAUCCCAGGAAUAAAUCCCACUUGAUCAUGGUGCAUAUUCCUGUAAUGUGCUGCUGAAUUGGUUUGUUAGUAGUUUUUGAGGAUUUUUGCAUCAAUAUUCCUAAGAGAUAUUGGUCUGUUGUCUUUUCCUGUAGCGUUUUUGUCCGGCUUUGAUGUCAGGUUAAGGCUGGCCUCAUAGGAUGAGUCAGAAAGUGUUACCUUAUCUUGGCCAGGCAUGGUGGCUCACACCUGUAAUCCCAGUGCUCGGGAGGCUGUGGCAUGAGAAUCACUUGAACCCAGGAGGCAGAGGUUGCAGUGACCCGAGAUCGCACCACUGGACUCCAGCCUGGGAGACAGAGAAAGACCAUCUCUCAAAAAUAAAUAAAAAAUAAAACCCAGGGGGUGGGCACCUUUCUGGGGUCUCUCAGGUGCAGUGCACACGGGACAUGACACACAGGCCUCCACCCACCCUGGGUAGCUUUCCUGAGUCUUUCAGAUGGCUUGUCCUGAAUCCUAGGCUUCUGUUGUCUCUUGAUGUCUAACUGUAAGUAACAAAUUCACUGCAUUUAACUUGCUCUGUGUGUGUUCCAUCUAACCAGACUUCUGAAAGUAACCAAGGUGCAAUGAAACGGCUUUGACAUAUAGGUCUAUCCAGAUUUUCCCUUUCUUCAUGAGUUAGUCCUAGUCUUAGUAUGUUUAUGUUGCUAGUAUUUUGUCCAUUUCAUUUAGUUUAUCCAAUUUGUUGGCAUACACUUAUGCAAGUGUUUGGUUGAAGAACCAACUUUUUGUUUCAUUGAUUUUCU
rnacentral:lncRNA from 1 species